AGAUCCCCGAUGGCAACUUUUGAGGACCUGGAUCCUGCUGUUUCUAGCUGUGUUCUAGUUACAAGAUUCUUCUUUUUCGGUUUAAUCCGUUUGAGGAGGGUUGGCAAGUGUCUUGGUCAUUAAGUCCAUCACAGCAAAGAUCAUGCUGUUUUAAUAAUCUCUCUUUGUGUUUAUUAUUGUAGCUUCUGAUACCAGCACAAUGCCUGGCAUUGUAGAAUGAGAGAGCCCUCACUUAACAAAUGAGAAAAAUGAGGCCCCAGGAGAAAGGCAUUUGCUCCAGGACACCAUGCAGAGUGGGAAAGCUGGGACUAGAACCCAAGUCUCCUGGCUGUUAGGCCAAAUCAGUUGACUCAAUUAAACAAAUGUUUAUUGAACACCUGCUACCUGCCAGGCUCUGGGCUUGGCAUGUAAUAUGGAAGGGCUCUGGCAUGUGGCACCCCCACCACCCACACUGCCCUGCUUCCCAGUGGCCAGGGGCCUGGGCCUGCUCUGCUGGCUGGUUCCCUGGUCGAACCAGUAAAAAGUGAUCAGUGCUUCGCCAGCCCAACUAGGACUGUCCUUACAGAAUACUGGGCACAAAGGUCCUGCCCAAACACAUCCUUCCCGUUAGCAGUCUGUCUGCCUGCUAUGCACUCACCAUAGUUUAUUAUUCAUUUGCCUGCCUCGUUCCUGGCACUGUGCUUGGUACUUGUUCAGAGAGAACUUCACAUAUUAAAAAGAUACCACUUUAUGUGUUUACAUUAUGCUUUAAUACAAAAAGAGACACCUUCUUGACCGGGUGCAUUGGCUCACGCCUGUAAUCCCAACACUUCAGGAGGCCAAGGUCGGCAGAUCACCUGAAGUCAGGAGUUUGAGACCAGCCUGGCCAACAUGGCGUAACCCUGUCUCUACUAAAAAC
rnacentral:lncRNA from 10 species